rnacentral:lncRNA from 1 species
GAGAGAGAAACAAAAGAAAACCAGAAAUCUUGUUCCAGUCUAAACUGUGAAGAGACAAUAGGUAAUUAACUAAGCUCUUCUUCAUUUUCCUACUUUGCUUGGUUAAUAAUGCCUUAGGAUGAACUAGAACUGAGAAAAGAAGGAAUUCACUGAUAAAAGUUCUUCAAAGCUGGAAAAUUCUAUUCAAAGUUACUGCAUGCUACCCGAUGAUUAAAAGCUGCAAUUUUUGGGUCAUUUCUCCUUCAAAAUCUGUUAAAUUAUGUUUUCAUGCAUUAUAUAUGUUUCAUAGUUUACAUAUCUUGACAU